AUCCACUGCCUCCAUGGGCUCUCUCUUCCAUAUAUGGAUAGAAGAGUAACGCUGCAUUACAAUUGGCUGCGCAGCUGAAGUUCGCGUGCUGAUUGGCUGAGUAAUACUGUGAUAGAGCGAGACCAACGGCAGAUGUUCCAGAAUUCUCCUGAGAUUGAUCAUUGAGCUUUAUCUCCUGAGCAAUUCUUAAGCAUUACAAGCACUACUGACUCGCCACUGCACAAUAUCCAACCAUCUAUUCAGAGCACAACCUGCAUUUUUCUCUGCAGCUGAACGCCUGGUUUUGGAUUUUCUACAAGCAGCAGUCCUUCUGAAUUGUUUUUCCCACCCCUC